rnacentral:lncRNA from 1 species
GUGAGCCACCGCGCCCGGCCCCUGACUUUUUAAUGAUCGCCAUUCUAACUGGCAUGAGAUGGUAUCUCAUUGGGGAACAUCUUAAAAGAAAAGCAUAUAAUUGCCAUUUGCACUUCCUCACCUCUUUAUCCACUCUUCAGCCUACUGCAAAUUGACUUUUGACCUCUUUAAUCUACUGAAAUGGCUCAUGCAAAGAGACUUUUUAUAAAAAUCACAUAUAAUUUAGAUUUUUUAUUUUCUGCAUAAAUCUCUUUAAUUUUAUGUGAUAAUACAGUGCAUGAUUAUUUGUUGAGCCGUUAAUUUUGUAUUAGCCAAAGAGAAAGUUGAACCUGUCAGUUAAACUGGGUGGAAUAAGAAAUAAUAUUUUAAAAUUAGCAGUAAAUAGAAACUUGCACAAUAAAAAUAUUUUUGUGUCACUUGAAAUAUUACCAUUGGUUGCAAGUUUUAAAGAUGUAAAAGGUGUCUUCUUUCACGUUCACUUUUUUUUUCAGUAGAGAUACUGACUGCAGGCAGCUUGCCUCUUUUGUUUUUUUGGCUUAUAGUCACAGUAUUUGAGCACAAAUUUAAUGAAGCAUUGUUUAAUUGAGACUUCCCUGUAGUGACACAACAAUAUUGCAAAUUUUUUUCAUAGGCAUUUCCUCACUUAAUUCUCAAACAAGUUUUGUCUUUUUUUUUUCAUCACGAUAUCUGUAGACAGGAUCAAACAACUUUUGAAGGGUAUUUGAUUUCCCCCUAUUUACAGAUUUAAGAAACUGAAACUCAAAAGAGACAAAUUGCCACAUUCAUCCUGCCACAGGGUGUGUGUGUGUGUGUGUGUGUGUGUGUGUGUGUGUGUGUGUGUGUGUGUGUUUUCUGACUCUAAACGUAGAGCAGUUUCUACUAUGCCCCAGCCACUUGGAUGUAGUAUGUGUACAAAAGUGACAACACGAUAUAGUGAUUCUUCAAAGUAGGUUUAUUGUUCUAAUUGACAUUUUUCUUCAAACAUUAUAGGAUUAUACAUUUCCAACAAUUUUAAGCAAUUUUGAUGCUUAUCAAAAUGUUGUAUAUUUAAUAAGUUUUUGCAUUAAAUGAGUUUAGGUUGGCAAUAAGGAACCACCAUAUACUUUAAUAGAUACUAUUUCAUACCACAGUUGUGUUGUCUUUAAUACAGAGAUGAGUGUUUAAUACUCUUUUGCAAUGGGAAGAAGUUAAAGGAGUUUGAGUUAAAAUAGUGAGAGAAAUAAUUGAAUAUGAUUGUUACCUUAAAUAUAGCCACAGUCUGUUGAUUUAAGCUUCAGUUAGUCCUAACAUAUUCAACAUAUUCAUAACAAAAUUUUUUGGGCAUCUCUGGCUCAUUUAUUAAUACCUAUGAACCUGCAAAACACUGCUGUAUUUGUAAGACUGAUAUGUAUGGGAUAAUGUAUGCGAUAAGCAAAAAUCUUAGUUUUCUAGCUAGCUUUUGAAAUGAAAGUAAUGGAAACAUGACUACUCAGAUUUAAAAAAACCAGGCUUUACCUUUCGUAGUUCAAUUUAUAUUAGUACAAAUUCUUCUCAAAGGUGGUCUCCUUGAGAAGGUGCACAGGCUACUGGAAAUAGUGAAGACAGUAAUAAGAAGAAGAUUAACUGGCUUACUUACCAAGAAAAUGAAUUCAGGAAAUUUGAUUCUCGUAGAGAUCUAGAACAAGCAAACAGGAUGAACAACCACUUAUUUUGGAAUAGUGUAUUUAAAUUUGAGAAAGAGUGAUCUUUUCUUUCUCCGAAGGGUUAAGAAUGUGAUCAAAAGCCUGGAGCUGAAAGAAGGAUAAUAUGUAUGGGAGACAGUGAGGACACUUGCCUGACCAGAGCAGGACCAGAAACCAGAAAUGCAAUUUGCCAAGCAUAUGAAGAAUAUGUUUUUACUGGUUUUUGAUAACUUAAAAUACUUCUUCAUCUAAAACCAGGCUGAUCUUGAGAAAGAUUUUAAAGGAGAUUAGAAAAUUCACUUUAACAAACCACUAUCAUAUAGUCACAUCAAUCUUUCGUAGAUAUUUUUGCAAACAAUUACCAGAAUUCUUAGAGUUUAUUACAGAUAUUUUGUUCUUGACCUUUGACACUUGCCAUUUAGCAAUUGCAUGGUUUUACUUUUGUGGUUGUAGAGUUUCUGUUUUUCUUUCAUUAGAAUGAUGUAAGUAGAGGAAUAGAAACUGUUAUAUUUGCAAAAAAAGAGCAAAGAUGCUUUGUGACCUUGGGAAUUAUAUUUGAAGGUUACUCACAAGAGAAUACCUUGUUUAGGAAAGAUGGUUAAUUUUUUUCUUGCAAGCAGACUUUUUUACAAAAUUAGUUAAUGGCAAAUGUGUUCUUUGCUGAAUAUUAAUCUAUAGUAUCAUUUAAGAUGUUCUUAAUUUAUGUUUCUGGACUUUGUUUAAAUGUCAAACUCUAGAAAGGGUAAACUAGCUCACCCCACUGCUAGGUAAUAGCUAGUAUUGUCUUCGCUGCAGGGCAUUUUACAGUAAAAUUUUGAAGUAUAUUGAAAAAAGUUACCAGUUCACUUACUAUACAAUAGCUUGGAAUGUGAAUGUCUGAAAGAAGAAAAAUUCAAUAAAUGACUAUGUAGUUAUUUGGUGGAAUUCACAACAUAAUAACAAGAAAAGGUUUUCAGCUUUGAUCAUAAUGGAAAUGAGUCAUUUAAUUUUACCCUCAGUCCUGGUACACAGUUUCAGCACCUGCUAAGAAGUCGGCUUGCAUUUAAAUGACUUAGGCAAUUAUUAAAAGCAAGUUUCAAGAAAUAAAUGGCAUUUAUAUAAAAAGGAGACUGGGCUCAAACUGCUAGUGCUUUAAAUUUCCAUAAAAGCAAAUUCAAGUUCAGAACAGGAUUCAGGAUUUAGUAACAAUUCAAAGGUUUUCAAUCCCUUAAUCUCUUUGUGAUAACUAUAUUCAUCAUGUAGCCAUUUUUAAAAGGAAGAGAAUAAAAAUGUUAACAUUGAUGUCUACCAGCACUUGUGACUGAAAAAUUGAUUAUAUAUGGUAAAUACUUAUGGCUCCAAAUAGCUAUUUGAUUUAUAAUUUUGGUAUUGAAAUGUAAUGAAAUACUUCUAUUGUAUUUGCAAUCGCUGGAAGAGUAGUAUGAAUCAUACUUCAAAUAAAAAUGCUUCUUUUUAUCAUUUUUCCCAAAUGUUUUGAGUGUAAGAAUGCUGUUUCCUUUUCUCUCAGGUCUACAUAUCUUUACUCAUCAUCUCAAAGGUGAUUAUUUUGUAACUUGACCUUAGUCUUGCAAAGGAGCUCUAUUUAGAGAUUUAAAUAUAGUAUUAACUUAGAAAAUAAAUUUCAACUAUUCAUACUGUUUUACCUAGAGUUAUUACAUUAUUAAGAGUAAAUAUCUUAUUAAACUCAAUAGGGAGCCACAAAAUAGAUAAGAUUUCUAAAGGAGGUAACUGAGUGUAUAUAAAAUAACUGAUGAAAAAUAAAAGUUAAGAAAAUGGGGCAGCUAAAUCAUCUGUCAACAGUAUUUAUAUUGAAAAGACAUUGUAAAUAUUAACUUCAGUUUUUCUAGCUUGCCAUAUGGAAUUGCUAUAAUUGGAAGACAAAACAAAAUGUGGGAAGUACCUGACAUUUCACUUAAAUUUAUUUAAACAAAGUUUGUAUAUGUUCUGAGCCACCUACUAUUUUUGAGGCACUAUUCUAAGUGCUUAUAUUUCUUAGCUCACUUAAUCUUCACAAUAUCAUGAGGUGGAAACUUUUGUUUUUGACCAUUUUACAGAUAAGGAAACUCAAACAAGUACAAUCUAGACCUCCAAAUGGACACGUGCUGCUUAGUAGCUAUGUGGCCUCUGUUCUGAGUCCUGUGACCAUUUCAGAGUUAUAGUUCAUAAUUCCUUCUCAUGUCCUGUAGUCCUGUCACCAAGUGCUAUAAUUUCAUCAUUUCCUUGGAUUGUUCUUUCUUGUUUUUGCCUGGGUUAUCUCCAUUUAUGCCUGAAUGACCAUAUAUCAUAGUCUCUUAGUUUAGUGAAUUUCAGGCAUCAGUCUGAGGACUUGAGUUGAUUUGUGAAGAAAUUUCAGCAUCUGCUCUCUUAACCUAGUGAUUGACUUCCGGGUUUCAAAAAAUGGUUCCUACACAACAGCUAUUAUUAUAGAUUGCUGUAGGAACUACUCUUUGCAGCCAUUUAUUAGCACUCGCAGGGCCACUUUCUAAUCUUCUGAAGGCUCUUUCUGCAUCCAUGCUCGUUCUCUCUAUUUUGCUCUCAUUAUACAGCUGCCAGAACCGUUAUUUUAGAAUGUGAUAUAGUUUGGUUCUUUGUCCCCAUCCAAAUCUUAUGUUGAAUUGUAAUCCCCAGUGCGGGAGGUGGGGUCUGGUGGGAGGUGUUUGGGUCCUGGGAGCAGACCCUUCAUGGCUUGGUGCUGUCUCCAUAACAGUGACUGAGUUCUUGCAAGAAAAAAUACUUCUGUAAGGACAUCUGCCCAGCAACUGCUGGUUCAACUGCCUGGGCUACUGUCACCCUUGUUAUUGAUCCUCGUAGCCAAAGAAAAUUAUCUCAAAACAAUUGUGUAAUCCCCUCAUUUUUCCUUUAAAAAAUUAUUUUAUCUCUGUCAGUAUACACAUAGUUUACUAUGACAUUCAUAUUCCCUUAGCAAUGUCCUAUUCCUGAAUGAAUAUAAUUUUAUUUUAGAGAGACUCUCUUGGUUUGUAGCAAUAAUUUUUCAAUAUAUGAGAUUUAUCUCGAUAUUGUAUGGUUAAUAGUGUUAGUUGCUGUUACUCUGUUCUAAAAAGUGAGGCUAAAUUGUAGCAAAAUGAUAUACCUUUUGUUUUGCAGAAAUCUCCCAAAGAAAAGCCAUAGUUCAGGUUAAAGCAGUUAAGCCUAUGGCAUUUCCUUUAGCAAAAUCGCAAUAAAAGAUAAACUAGGUAGUUAAAUAAUCCUAAGGGUUAGAUUACACGAGCAGUCCAACUUGUUUCAAGUAAGCAUUGAAUACAUUCUUAUUGAGUAAAUAAUCUGUUUCCCAUUUGUAACUUUCUUCAGACUUACCCUCUAUAAUGACUCUUCAGUGAACAACUUUUUGCUAGAAUGACUCUGGCAAAAUGCUAAUAUUUUGGACAAUGACUUGAAAAAUUGUCUAACAACCUUUCCACCAAAAAACAUAAUAUAAAAAUGGGCAUUUCAACAUUGUGAUUUCAGGCAAUGACACAUUUGACAAUUUACUUGACAUAACAAUUUUUAGUCAGAUCCAAAUAUAUGCAUCGCAUUUGAAUUGCCUUCCAUGUAUGGAUGAAUCCAAAGCAUUUUGCUCUCUGUACAUACCCUAAAGUACUUCUGCCUGCUAUUCUCUUCAUCUCUAAGCAAGAGAUGAAGAUGCAGUAUCUUCUGGGAGUCUUCUGUCUGUUAUGCCUCUAUAUACUUAAUCUGUAUUUUACCCAAAGGUGUUUUUCUGGGAUAAUUUUACUUUAAGUGCAAAAUAAUCAUGAGCCCCCCAAGUUUGAAAUAUUAGUGAAAAAAAUGUUUCAGAAAUAAGGAAAAUAAAGGAAGUACAACAUUGCCAUUUAUAUAUAAGCUGUAUUUGUUUACUCCCAAAUUGCUGUUUAUUACUAAUAAAAACAGAUUUUUAUUCAAUUGAUAUAUUUUUCUAGCUGUGAAAAUUGUUUGGGUAUCUUGUGUUGAGAUGAAACAUAUCAUAAUUUUUCCAUUAAAUUUAAUGAAAACUUUUUUUUUUCAUUUAAAAUCUCUUUACUUAAUGGUAGGGUUUUCAGGUACUAAUGAAAGUCAUUUAAGCAAGGGAGAGGUGUGCUUGAGACACUUAAUGAGUACUAACGAAGCCCUGUGUGGAAUAUCCUGCAGUUUGAGAAGCCAUCACUGUAAAUUAGAAGUCUUGGCAAUUUUGUUAUUGUUUCUUACCUGACUUUUAUCUAAGUUGAGUUCUUUUGCAAUAUAGCUGUCAAAUUUUCGACUCUCCUUUUCUAUCUGCCACUUCUCAUGAGCUUUAUUUAACAAGAGGAACAAGUUAGCAACAUCACCUGACUUUGCUAACUUAACAUUAUUUAUCACACCAAUUCACUAAUAUUUAUGAAAUAAUUUAGAUGGUUGAUAUUCUUCUAUUAUUUCUCCAUUUUAAAUUAUUAACCAUAAAUCUUUGUUUUCUAUAAUUGAACACAUAUUUAAUCAGUAACAAGUUUUGCCUUGAAGCUAUUUUCAAUCUUAUAUCUUAACUGCUUAUCAUAGAAAAAAAAGACUAAUUAAUAAGCCAAGUAUUCAACUUAAGUUAGAACAAUGGAGCAAACAUAAAGGAGUGAAAGAAGGAAACGGUAAAGAAAAGAGCAGAAUUGGUGAAUUAGAAAACAAAUUAUAGAGAACUUCAAAAAGCCAAAAGCUGAUUAUAUUAAAAGAUGAAUUAAAUAGACAGUCUUUGACAAGAAUGAUAACGAUAAGCCAUGUAUAAUUAAUAUUAGGAACAAAAGUGGGUAGAACUACAGAUACGACAGAGAUUUAAACAUCAUAAGAGAAUAGCAUAAACAAAUAUAUGCUGGUAAACUAGUUAGAAAACAUGGACACUUUUCUAGCAAAUUGGUUUAUGAAGAUAUAGAAAAUCUAACUAUAGUAUAAAUAUAUAAGUACAAAUAUGUAAAAAGAAACUGAAUCAGUAGUUAAAAGUCUACACAACACAGACAUACAUACUAUGAAAUACACACACCAUACUAUAUACACACACACACUAUGAUAUACACACACACAUACACUCAUCCAGGCCCAGAUGGUUUUACAGAUGAGUUAUAACAAUCCUUCAAAAAACUAAUAAUCAUAAAACUGGAAAAAAAGAAAAAAGUACAAAUGAUCUUUAUGGAAACUUUUCUAAACUUUUCAAAAUUUAAUGCUCUCUAGGUCACUUUAUGAUGCUAAUAUACCUUGAUUAAAAACAAUGAAAAGACCUGGGUACAGUGGCUCAGACCUGUCAUCCUAGAACUCUGGGAGGCCAAGGCAAGAGGAUUUGAGGCCAGCUUGGGCAAAAAAGUGAGACUUCAUCUCUACAAAAAAUAAACAUUAAAAAAAUUGAAAAGAAAUAUAUGAGAAAGAAAUGUUGCAGGAUAACACACUUCAUGAACACGAAGACAAAUAUAUAAAUUUAAUAUUGGCAAAAAUAAAGCAAUAUAUAAAUAAAUCAUAGACAAUUAUUUCCCCCAGAAAUAUAGGAAUGGGUUAACAGAAAAUCUUUGACUAUAAUUUAUCACAUUAACUGUACUGUUAAAUUUAAUUACCAGAUUUUGAUUGGCAGAAGUGUCAGACACAGACACUGCCUAGGUAAAUCAAAUACAUCUAGAGAAGGAAGUCAUCCUAAAUUUGAGAAGUGUAUGAUUCAGCUUUAACCUUUGAGUUUAAAUUUUAAACAAUAUAGGAUUUUAAAAAA